rnacentral:rRNA from 1 species
CCUACGGGAGGCAGCAGUGAGGAAUCUUGGUCAAUGGACGAGAGUCUGAACCAGCCAAGUAGCGUGAAGGAUGACUGCCCUAUGGGUUGUAAACUUCUUUUAUAUGGGAAUAAAACGUUCCACGUGUGGGAUUUUGUAUGUACCAUAUGUAUAAGGAUCGGCUAACUUCGUGCCAGCAGCCGCGGUAAUACGGAGGAUCCGAGAGUUACCCGGAUUUAUUGGGUUUAAAGGGAGCGUAGGUGGUUUGUUAAGUCAGUUGUGAAAGUUUGCGGCUCAACCGUAAUAGUGCAGUUGAAACUGGCAGUCUUGAGUACAGUAGAGGUGAGCGGAAUUCGUGGUGUAGCGGUGAAAUGCUUAGAUAUCACGAAGAACUCCGAUUGCGAAGGCAGUUCACUGGUCUGCAACUGACACUGAGGCUCGAAAGUGUGGGUAUCAAACAGGAUUAGAUACCCCAGUAGUC